UGAGGAGAAUGAAGAUGGAAAGGAGGUGGCAGUGUGAGAACCCUUCCUCAGGUAAAGAAGACCAAUUCCUCCCACCUACUCCUCCUAUUGCUACUGUCCAGCAACAAGAGCAAGAACCUGAGGAACAGAUCGUUCAUGCAAAACCACCACCGCCCCCAUCCCAGCGUCCACAUGGUUUCCCAGCCUCGGCAGCGCGCUGGUAGGGCGGGACCCCGUCCCUCACUUUGCUCUCCUUUCCCGAGCAGCUCCCGGGUUCGGGU
rnacentral:lncRNA from 1 species